GGCUUCCAAGGCGAUCGAUCGGGCAGUGUCGGUCUGCAGCUGCUAAGCCAAGAAGAUCUGGAAAGGAGUCAGUCAGAGAGCCUUGGGCUCUGGGAGUGGUGCCAGUUCUACAAGGCCUGGAGCAGAUACGAAAAACCUCCCUUCUUUGCCAAAUGGUCCCCAGCUUCCCCAUUCACUGAAGGCCCUGCGGUCAGGAACAGUCAGGACUUUGCACCCAGUUGUUGUGAGUGUUGGCCGACCCUUCCUCUUGUGUGAUUCAUGGACCCUUAGCAUUGCAUCACCUGGGAGCUUUUGGAAUUGAAGACUCUCAGCGCUCACCGGAAGGACCUCCUGGGCCAGAAUCUGCAUUUUAACAAGAUGCCCAGGUGAUUUGCAUACACGUUCAGAUCUGAGAAGCGCUAGUAGGAGAAGCUUUAAUGUGGUAAUUAGAUCUUUUCUCCACCUGCAGGAAUCUUAGUUUCUUCAUGUUAAAUCUAUUAACUGUGGCAAUGGUAUGGGGGUUAUAAAACAAAACAAAACCCUUACAUCAAGAAUGCACCCGGGUGUGUUAUGGAUGUGGGUGAAAUGAAAUGUCUGGAAUUUGCUUUAAAAUAUCCUAAAAUAGCAAGAAGGAAAAGAAAAGUGGGAACUGGAAUGAGAUUGGAGAAAUGUUGACAAGUUCUUGCAGUGGGAUGAUGGGUGCAUGGGGGUUCAUGGUAUAAUUCUCUCCCUGCUUUUUGUGUAUAUGGGAAAUUUCCAUAAUGAAAAGUUAGAGGUCGGGCACGGUGGCUCAUGCCUGUAAUCUCAGCAUUUUGGGAGGCUGAGGUGGGUAGAGUGCUUG
ensembl:lncRNA LINC02021 long intergenic non-protein coding RNA 2021